GUCUGAUCAAAAUGAGUUGUAGUUUUCAUGGAAGCAACAGCCUUGGCCCAUUCUUGAAUUCUGGCUCUGAUCAACUUAUCCUUCUCCAUAAAAAUCUCAUUGCUUGGAACAUUUCUCUCUGCUAGAAGAUGUGAAGGUGGCUGUUUCUCUCCACACCGCUCCCAUUUCUCGACGUCUAUGUUGCAUUUCAUGUAAUCCACACCCGCCAUUGCUAAAGCAUCGAUCGACAUUCUCGCUUCUCACUCUAGAUUUGCUUAUAUAAUCUCUC
rnacentral:lncRNA from 1 species